UUCGGCUUAGAGUUUGAUCCUGGCUCAGAGUGAACGCUGGCGGCGUGGAUUAGGCAUGCAAGUCGAGCGAUCUCGCAAGAGAUAGCGGCAAACGGGUGAGGAACACGUGAGCAACUUGCCCUGAGGACAGGAAUAGCAUCGUGAAAACGGUGGUAAUACCUGAUAAUAUCAUUGAGGCGCAUGUCUUAAUGAUUAAAGGCGGGGACCGCAAGGCCUGCCACCUGGGGAUGGGCUCGCGUCCUAUCAGCUAGUUGGUAGGGUAAUGGCCUACCAAGGCGUUUGACGGGUAGCUGGCCUGAGAGGAUGGUCAGCCACACUGGGACUGAGACACUGCCCAGACUCCUACGGGAGGCUGCAGUCGAGAGUAUUUAGCAAUGGGCGAAAGCCUGACUAUGCGACGCCGCGUGAGGGAUGAAGGUUUUCGGAUCGUAAACCUCUUUUAUCAGGGAAGAAACCUUGCAGGUUAACACCCUGCAAGCUGACGGUACCUGA
rnacentral:rRNA from 1 species